rnacentral:sRNA from 1 species
AUUAUUAUGUAUACUACUAGAUAUUAACUUGCGGUAUACCGCGGGCUUAUAUUUUUAUAAAAAAUUUAAAU